CCUACGGGAGGCAGCAGUGGGGGAUAUUGCACAAUGGGGGGAACCCUGAUGCAGCGACGCCGCGUGAGUGAAGAAGCGUCUCGGUGUGUAAAGCCCUGUCAGCAGGGAAGAAAAUGACGGUACCUGAAUAAGAAGCCCCGGCUAACUACGUGCCAGCAGCCGCGGUAAUACGUAGGGGGCAAGCGUUAUCCGGAUUUACUGGGUGUAAAGGGGGCGCAGGCGGCGAUGCAAGUCAGGAGUGAAAGCCCGGGGCCCAACCCCGGGACUGCUUUUGAAACUGUGUUGCUGGAGUGCAGGAGGGGCAGGCGGAAUUCCUGGUGUAGCGGUGAAAUGCGUAGAUAUCAGGAGGAACACCGGUGGCGAAGGCGGCUUGCUGGACUGCAACUGACGCUGAGGCCCGAAAGCGUGGGGAGCAAACAGGAUUAGAUACCCCAGUAGUC
rnacentral:rRNA from 1 species